GACGUAGGGCGCGAGCGUUGUCCGGAUUAUUGGGCGUAAAGGCUCGUAGGCGGUUUGUCGCGUCGGGAGUGAAAACUCAGGGCUUAACCCUGAGCCUGCUUCCGAUACGGGCAGACUAGAGGUAUGCAGGGGAGAACGGAAUUCCUGGUGUAGCGGUGAAAUGCGGCAGAUAAUCAGGAGGAACACCGGUGGCGAAGGCGGUUCUCUGGGCAUUACC
rnacentral:rRNA from 1 species